rnacentral:rRNA from 1 species
GAUAAACGCUGGCGGCGCACAUAAGACAUGCAAGUCGAACGGGGGGUUAGUGGCGGACUGGUGAGUAACGCGUAAGGAACCUACCUAUUAGAGGGGAACAACAAUGAGAAAUCAUUGCUAAUACCGCAUAUGCCAUAACUACCGCAUGGUAGAAGUGGGAAAGGAGUAAUCCGCUGAUAGAUGGCCUUGCGUCUGAUUACUUAGUUGGUGGGGUAACGGCCUACCAAGACGACCAUCAGUAGCCGGACUGAGAGGUUGAACGGCCACAUUGGGACUGAGAUACGGCCCAGACUCCUACGGGAGGCAGCAGUCGGGAAUAUUGCGCAUUGGAGGAAACUCUGACACAGUGACGCCGCGUGCAGGAAGAAGGUUUUCGGAUUGUAAACUGCUUUAGACCGGGAAGAGAAAGGACAGUACCUGUAGAAUAAGCUCCGGCUAACUACGUGCCAGCAGCCGCGGUAAUACGUAGGGAGCGAGCGUUAUCCGGAUUUAUUGGGUGUAAAGGGUGCGUAGACGGGAAUACAAGUUAGUGUGAAAAUACCUCAGCUUAACUGAGGAACUGCAACUAAAACUAUAUUUCUUGAGUACAGGAGAGGUAAGUGGAAUUCCUAGUGUAGCGGUGAAAUGCGUAGAUAUUAGGAGGAACACCAGUGGCGAAGGCGACUUACUGGACUGAAACUGACGUUGAGGCACGAAAGUGUGGGGAGCAAACAGGAUUAGAUACCCUGGUAGUCCACACCGUAAACGAUGGAUACUAGGUGUAGGAGAUAUUAAGUCUUCUGUGCCGUCGCAAACGCAGUAAGUAUCCCACCUGGGGAGUACGGCCGCAAGGUUGAAACUCAAAGGAAUUGACGGGGGCCCGCACAAGCAGUGGAGUAUGUGGUUUAAUUCGAAGCAACGCGAAGAACCUUACCAGGGCUUGACAUAUAGAUGAAUAUAUAAGAGAUUAUAUAGCUCUUCGGAGCAUCUAUACAGGUGGUGCAUGGUUGUCGUCAGCUCGUGUCGUGAGAUGUUGGGUUAAGUCCCGCAACGAGCGCAACCCCUGUUUCUAGUUGCCAGCACGUCAAGGUGGGAACUCUAGAAAGACUGCCGUAGAUAAUACGGAGGAAGGUGGGGAUGACGUCAAAUCAUCAUGCCCUUUAUGUCCUGGGCUACACACGUACUACAAUGGCUGUAACAGAGGGAAGCAAGCUAGUGAUAGCAAGCGAAACCCAAAAAGCAGUCACAGUUCGGAUUGAAGGCUGAAACUCGCCUUCAUGAAAGCCGGAAUUGCUAGUAAUGGCAGGUCAGCAAUACUGCCGUGAAUACGUUCCCGGGCCU